UACGAAGGGUGCAAGCGUUAAUCGGAAUUACUGGGCGUAAAGCGUGCGUAGACGGUUAUUUAAGUCAGGUGUGAAAGCCCCGGGCUCAACCUGGGAAUUGCAUUUGAGACUGAAUAGCUAGGGUGCGGAAGAGGGAAGCGGAAUUUCCGGUGUAGCGGUGAAAUGCGUAGAUAUCGGAAGGAACACCAGUGGCGAAAGCGGCUUCCUGGUCCAGCACCGACGUUCAGGCACGAAAGCGUGGGGAGCAAACAGG
rnacentral:rRNA from 1 species